rnacentral:rRNA from 1 species
GACGUAGGAGGCGAGCGUUGUCCGGAUUCAUUGGGCGUAAAGAGCACGCAGGCGGUUUGGCAAGUCAGAUGUGAAAAUCCGAGGCUCAACCUCGGACCUGCAUCUGAAACUGCCCGACUAGAGGUAGGUAGGGGAGAUCGGAAUUCCUGGUGUAGCGGUGAAAUGCGCAGAUAUCAGGAGGAACACCGGUGGCGAAGGCGGAUCUCUGGGCCUUACCUGACGCUCAGGUGCGAAAGCUAGGGGAGCGAACAGG